rnacentral:tmRNA from 1 species
GGGCCUGCAAUGGUUUCGACGUGUUGGCGAACGUUACUCUGUGAUUCAGGUCGAGAGUGAGUCUUCUCUCGUAAAUACAAGGUUCAAAAACAAUAAGUGCAAACAACAUUGUACCUUUUGCUCGUAAAGCAGCUCCUGUAGCUGUCUAAAAACCUCUAACAGGUUCGAGCGUUUGUAGUCUGACUCCGUUAAAGGCUAUAGACAACCCCCAACGGACGCUCUAGUAAGUUUUCUCUGGUAGACUUGCUAGCUAAGAACUCACCAAAGAAUCCCACCGUCCGGGAUAAGGGACGGUUCCCGCCCAGAGGGUUAGAUGGGAUAAACCUGUGAACGAGCGGGGUGCUAAUACCCAGCAGGGACGGCAGUUCGAUUCUGCCCAGGUCCACUA